rnacentral:rRNA from 1 species
AAAUUUAGUAGCGAAGUAGCUGAUUUCACACUGUCAAGAAAAGUCUCUAUCGAGGUUAAAGGUACCCGUACCGCAAACCGACACAGGUGGGUGAGGAGAGGAUCCUAAGGCCAGCGAGAGAACUGUUGUUAAGGAACUCGGCAAAAUGACCCCGUAACUUAGGGAUAAGGGGUGCCACCAUCAGGUGGCCGCAGAGAAUAGGCCCAAGCGACUGUUUACCAAAAACAUAGGUUUCUGCUAAGUCGCAAGACGAUGUAUA